rnacentral:rRNA from 1 species
CACGUAGGGCGCAAGCGUUGUCCGGAAUUAUUGGGCGUAAAGAGCUCGUAGGCGGUCUGUUGCGUCCGCUGUGAAAACCCGAGGCUCAACCUCGGGCCUGCAGUCGAUACGGGCAAACUAGAGUACUGCAGGGGAGACUGGAAUUCCUGGUGUAGCGGUGAAAUGCGCAGAUAUCAGGAGGAACACCGGUGGCGAAGGCGGGUCUCUGGGGCAGUAACUGACGCUGAGGAGCGAAAAGCGUGGGGGAGCGAACAGGA